UACGGAGGGUGCAACCGUUACCCGGAAUCACUGGGAUUAAAGGGUGCGUAGGCGGCUUUAUAAGUCAGACGUGACAGAUUUGAGCUUAACUGAGAAAUUGCUUUUGAUACUGUAGAGCUAGAAUCUGGUUCAGGUCAGCGGAAUGUGGCAUGUAGCGGUGAAAGGCUUACAUAUGCCAUAGAACACCAAUUGCGAAUGCAACUGGCUGGGCUUAGAUUGACGCUUAGGCACGAAAGCGUUGGAAGCGAACUCG
rnacentral:rRNA from 1 species